AUUACUAAGCGGAGGAAAAGAAACUAACAAGGAUUCCCCCAGUAACGGCGAGUGAAGCGGGAAUAGCCCAGCGCCGAAUCCCCCGGGCAUCUGCUCCCGGCGGGAACUGUGGCGUUUGGGAGGUCGACUGCGUCGUCGUCUCGUCGCCCGAGUCCUCCUGAUCGGGGCUUCACCCAGAGCGGGUGUCAGGCCUCUACGGUCGCGGGCGGCGGCGCUUCGGGCCUCCUAGGAGUCGGGUUGUUUGAGAAUGCAGCCCUAAGCGGGUGGUAAACUCCAUCUAAGGCUAAAUACCGAGGCGAGUCCGAUAGCGGACAAGUACCGUGAGGGAAAGUUGAAAAGAACUUUG
rnacentral:rRNA from 1 species